GUAUUUAAUUUUCUGCCCAACUAAAGGCAUAGUUAAUUCACAUUCAAUAAACUCAGGGUUUGUUAAAUUUGGCGUUGGCAGAUGAAUCUCCUAGAUGGGAGACACCUAACCAACAGUGCACAGGUGUAAUUGGAUAAAGGUGAGGGUUCGGGAAUCCAUGAGAAUGGAAAAUCCCUUUAAUUCACUAAUGAUCCUUCUGCAGGUUCACCUACAGAAA
rnacentral:misc_RNA from 1 species